rnacentral:rRNA from 1 species
UACGUAGGAGGCAAGCGUUGUUCGGAAUUACUGGGCGUAAAGGGCUCGUAGGCGGCCAACUAAGUCAGACGUGAAAUCCCUCGGCUUAACCGGGGAACUGCGUCUGAUACUGGAUGGCUUGAGGUUGGGAGAGGGAUGCGGAAUUCCAGGUGUAGCGGUGAAAUGCGUAGAGAUCGGGAAGAACAUCAGUGGCGAAGGCGGCCUGCUGGGCUGUUGCUGACGCUGAGGCGCGACAGCGUGGGGAGCAAACAGG